UUACUUUAGGUUUUCAUCCGGGCACGGAGCAAUUGGGAUGUAUGCCAGCACAGACGGGCCUACCUGUCCCGUUGGAAUUUAGCUUUUUGCUAUGCUUAUAGGUAAACUAUUGAAACUUUGGAUUCCCUGAAAUAUUUUCUCUUGCUUGCUUUAUAUACAUACAAAAUGUGAUGUGUGUUCUUAAUGGGAUUUGGUUGGUUUUGCCUUGGCCUUUUCUGCUGUAUAAAUUUACAGGAAGAUUGAGAAGUGUAACCAAACAAAAACUCACAUCAAAGAUCAUGUAGAGAGAUUGAGCCAUCGCCACCACUAGCAGUGCCACUAGCCUACCUUUACCACAUCUUGCUACCGUCAUCGCCGUC
rnacentral:lncRNA from 1 species